GAUGAACGCUGGCGGCGUGCCUAAUACAUGCAAGUCGAGCGAACAGACGAGGAGCUUGCUCCUCUGACGUUAGCGGCGGGCGGGUGAGUAACACGUGGAUAACCUACCUAUAAGACUGGGAUAACUUCGGGAAACCGGAGCUAAUACCGGAUAAUAUAUUGAACCGCAUGGUUCAAUAGUGAAAGACGGUUUUGCUGUAACUUAUAGAUGGAUCCGCGCCGCAUUAGCUAGUUGGUAAGGUAACGGCUUACCAAGGCAACGAUGCGUAGCCGACCUGACAGGGUGAUCGGCCACACGGGAACGUGGACACGGUCCAGACUCCUACGGGAGGCAGCAGUAGCGAAUCGGCCGCAAUGGGCGAAAGCCUUACGGAGCAACGCCGCGUGAGUGAUGAAGGUCUUCGGAUCGUAAAACUCUGUUAUUAGGGAAGAACAAAUGUGUAAGUAACUAUGCACGUCUUGACGGUACCUAAUCAGAAAGCCACGGCUAACUACGUG
rnacentral:rRNA from 1 species